rnacentral:misc_RNA from 1 species
GGGAUUCUUAGUUGUAAGCCCUCUGAGAAGGGAGAGAGAUGGGGAGGUUUAUGGGAUUGGCAGGAAUGAUGGCAAUGGUUGUCAUCAUGGUUGCGGUUUUCACCGAAGCACGGCUUCUUGAGAAAGACAACUUCCUUGGUGGAGGCGGCUUAGGGGGAGGUGCAGGUGGUGGUGGUGGUCUUGGUGGAGGUAGUGGUUUAGGAGCUGGGGGAGGGCUCGGCGGUGGAGGCGGGGCAGGUGGAGGCCUUGGGAGUGGUGGUGGUCUUGGUGAUGGUGGCGGGGCUGGAGGAGGUGCUGGUGGUGGCUUAGGAGGUGGUGCCGG